GCGCCCUUAGCUCAGUUGGAUAGAGCAACGACCUUCUAAGUCGUGGGCCGCGGGUUCGAAUCCUGCAGGGCGCGCCA
rnacentral:tRNA from 1 species